GGGUCAGUAGGUUGGUCGUGCCACCGGUACGUACUGGUCUCACUGAUUCCUCCUUCCUGAAGAACCGUAAUGCCAUUAAUUUGGUGUUGCGGGGAAACAGGACUGUUACUUUGAAAAGAUUAGAGUGCUUAAAGCAAGCUAACGCUUGAAUACAUUAGCAUGGAAUAAUGAAAUAGGACGAUCGAUCCUAUUUUGUUGGUUUCUAGGAUUGACGUA
rnacentral:rRNA from 1 species